GGUACAGAGUACAGAAGAGGACAACCGCCUCGUGCGUGUACCGACGUGUACCCACCAUAGAAAAAAAAUACCCAACCUUUUCCGCAGUCAUCUUUCCCUCAAAUUUUCCCCACGCCGGUGGUCAGAUCCAGAGGAGCCCUCCUUGGGCCGGCGCCUCCCCACGCCGGUGGUCAGAGCCGGAGGACCCCGCUCAUGUCCUUCAUCUGCUCCGGACCGACGUCGCACCUGCGGCCUCGGACAGAUCAGAUGCGGCCAUCUCGACGGGGCCCCACUUCCAGCGGGAUCGGGAAGGAGCUCGGUGGCCUCCCCCAACCUCCACGCCGCCGCCAUCAACGCAUACAAGAGCCGGAGGAGCUCCCUCAUGCCGUCGUUGUUCUCCGGGUCCUUAUCCAGUCGGCAGCCUCGGACGUGCCUGAUGCGCCCAUCCCCGCCAUGGCCAUAGUUCCAGCGUGACGAGCUGGGCAAGGAGAGGCUCGCCAGCCUCCCCCGCCUCCUAGCCGCCGCCAUUAAGGCCCGGAAGCAAUCCCCCGCGCAGCUGAUUUACCAGGUCACCUCAGCCGUUGUCACGGCGGGCAGGGCUCCCGGCCAGUCUCCGUCAUGGCCGCCGCCACCAAUUUCGGUCCCCGGCCACAGAUUGCAGUUUGGAUCGAAAGGUGCUCGAUUAUUCGCUUCAUAGGACUACUGCUGCUCGGAUUGAUUUCGUUGUUACACAGGUCUUUUGUUAAUCGCGUUUGUCCAGAUUGUUCUUUGAUGUGACUUUCAUAUGCAAAAAGCAUACAAUGCUAAUAUGGAAUAUUGGGCUUUCAAUUUUCAUUGUACUUCUUAUUUCUUCUUCUCAACACAACUUUGCUCAUCCGAGAAAAAAUCACGGAGCCUUGGUUCCAAUAUUAUUUUCUGUUUUGUGUGUUUAUUGUAAGAUUGAUUAUAUCCACUUCUAAUUGGGAUAAUAUGUUGAUCCUAGAGUUUAAACUCUAAAAUUGACAAGGGCGGUGUGUUCAGGAUGUGGUUGAGAGAAUAGUAGUUUGCAGAUACUGGAUUAACUGAUCAGAAAGAGUAUCAUGGAAUUGGAUACGAACUUUUCUGAGGUUCUUGCAACUUAGAUUAGCAAAUCACUUUUACUAUGUACAAAACUGAUCUGUUUCUUCUCAUUUAGGAUAGAUGUAGUAGAAAAGAUGCCAUCAUGCUUCUCCAAUAUACUCCCUCCAUCCCAAAAUAAGUGUCAUUGAUUUAUUACAACUUUGUUGUGUUUUCAGUGCCGUGUGCCGUAUUUUGAUGUGCUAAAAUGUUAUGAAGCUACUAAAUUUAUCAUUUAACAUCCAAGAAAACUUAUGCAUGUUGAUAUCUUCAUUUUACCAUCUUGGGUUGACAGGAAACAAGCUAUCCCCGUGAUUUUUAGCUUUGAUGUGCCCUGACGUUCUGUAAGUAGCCUCUCUAUCCCUCUCAAAUUAUUUAUCUUAAAGAUCACGAUGUAUACACAAGGCGCAAUAAAUCAUCUUGCUUCUUUCCUGAAAAGUGUACUGAAGUUGCUUUCUUAUUUCAUGUUUCCGAUGGACAGAUUAUAAACAUUGCAUGCUGGUUGGUAAACAAAAUUGCUCAAGCAAUUUCGAAGUGAUGUGUUACUUGGUGCAGUCUAAUCUGAACAUUAUUCUUAUUUUUCUUUGUUACUGAAGAUUAUUUCGUACACACACACACACACACGCAACUGUGAAGGUAUAUGUGUUUUUUGUUUUUGGACAAACCAUAUAUACAUGUUUGACUGCUAAUCAUGAUGCCUUGCUUCCUUUCUUUGCUGAAAUUUUACAACAGUGCCUCUACUAACCUCAUUUCAAUUGAUGAGUACACACCUUUUGUUUGUUUUUGUGUGUAUUAAAUAGCAUAGGAAUUUUCUCCCCUGGAACUUUCCAGUUCAGAGAACUGAAUUUGACACGCCAAAUCAUAAGGCAGCAUUCAACAUUACUAAGCAAGGGAACUUCAGAAAAUAUUUUCCUGUCCCUGGUAGAAACAGAACUGAAGAUUACACCCUUCAGGUUAGAUAUGGACACACCAAAUCAGAAGACACCUUUUUUUCUUUUUGGUGAAAUUGCUUCCAAAAUCUUGAUUGCAUUCAUAUCACAAAAUAGUCAAAAUGCUAAGCUAAAUUGUACUACAACAACACCCUAUCUACAACUACAGCUAGCAGCUAAAACAGCUGAGCGCACAUCACAUGGACCUAGCCAAGUAGGUUUGCAGUGCAAGACAGUCUCGACGACAUUGACAGAGCAAAAUUCGUCGUAUUUCUCCCAUCAAUUGUUUUGUUCUGUGAUGGUUCUGAUGCUGAACAGAAAAUAAAUGUAUGCUUGCUGCUCAUUAUCAGGCUAUGAGGCAGACAAAGCAACUACAAAAAAAUGUAUCCUAGCUAUCUUCAUAAUAUGUUGCAGCAGCAAGUCAAGCCAUAGAAAAUAUAUGAAUGCUUGCUGUUAAUUUCAUUGGAGUGCAGGAAUGGUUGACCGAGAGCAGUGUGUAGAUCUAUGAAGGCCAAACCAGGCGUUGGAGUUGAGGGUUUGACACAAUUUGGAUCAAAUUACUGCUAUCUAUCCAACCGAUCUUUCUCUCCUCGGAUCUUGGUAGUUCAUACCUGAGAUUGUUUUCUAUGCCUAAGAAAGUGGAAUGGAGGGAGUAAUGCCUUGAGGUCUUAUUUAUUGUAAUUAUAGUCAAUGUAGUUCCAUUUUCAUAUUGUAGAGAAGAUAUUCGUUGUCUUACCUUUGGCCUGCAGGGAAUGUCAACGGGCUUUACCUAUGGAACACUUAGUUUAUUCUCAGUACUCUAUCAGCAAUCAUUUUUGUUGAAAGUAUAUGUACUGCCAUAGCAACAGUGGUGAGAGUUCAUUGUCUUAACAGGACACUCUUGCAUUGCUAUGGGCUUGGCCUCAGAUCAGAUUGUAUUGAACAUUAUUGCAUUUUAUUGUUAGCAUCCCACGAUC